UACGUAGGUGGCAAGCGAUACUCGGAAUCACUAGGCGUAAAGCGCAGGUAGGCGGUUUGGUAAGUCUUUUGUGAAAGCUCCUGGCUCAACUGGGAGAGGUCAAGGGAAACUACCGGACUAGAGUGUGGUAGGGGAUACUGGAAUUCCUGGUGUAGCGGUGAAAUGCGUAGAGAUCGAUCGGAAUGCCAAGGGUGAAGACAACCGGCUGGGGCUUACUUGACGCUGAGGCACGAAAGCGUGGGGAUCAAACAGG
rnacentral:rRNA from 1 species